UGGCGGACGGGUGAGUAAUGUCUGGGAAACUGCCUGAUGGAGGGGAUAACUACUGGAAACGGUAGCUAAUACCGCAUAACGUCGCAAGACCUAAAGAGGGGGACCUUCGGGCCUCUUGCCAUCGGAUGUGCCCAGAUGGGAUUAGCUAGUAGGUGGGGUAACGGCUCACCUAGGCGACGAUCCCUAGCUGGUCUGAGAGGAUGACCAGCCACACUGGAACUGAGACACGGUCCAG
rnacentral:rRNA from 1 species